rnacentral:rRNA from 1 species
UCCUACGGGGGGCAGCAGUAGGGAAUUUUCGUCAAUGGGCGCAAGCCUGAACGAGCAAUGCCGCGUGAACGAGGAAGGUCUUCGGAUCGUAAAGUUCUGUUGAAGGGGAAAAAGAGCGGAGAGAGAAAAUGGUCUCCGAUUGAUAUUACCCUUCGAGGAAGUCACGGCUAACUACGUGCCAGCAGCCGCGGUAAUACGUAGGUGGCGAGCGUUAUCCGGAAUGAUUGGGCGUAAAGGGUGCGUAGGCGGCCUGCUAAGUCUGGAGUGAAAGGUACCGGCUCAACCGGUACAGGCUCUGGAAACUG